CCCCUGAGUAGCACUCUGGCUGUUCAUUCAUUAGCCAAAGUGCUGCUCCUAUAUAACAAGCUAACCAGGUAGGAUGAUACAGGUGUUUGUAAUGCACAAGACGCUUCCGGGUAGCAUGCGUUUCGCUGCCGAAGGUCUCGGUUGGAAGACAACGAGCUAACACACCCUGCUGUAUUCUAUAGGAAGACAAGUCCAGGUGUUGGUUGUGAGCUGCCAGGGAGCCCUAUUCUCAGUGUUUGCUCUGUCCGUACCGCAUGAAGAGUGUUGCAGCUGUCUACGGGGCAGGUCGCCCGAACUGAGUCCUUUUCUUCACGCACUGCAUGUAUUGAGUGGUAAAGUGCACCUCACCAUUGCUGUGAUACCUGUUUGCAGUGCCUGUGCCUACGUGUGUUGUGUGUAGAGGUGUUGGUCUGUGUGUGGAUGUGUGAGUAGGCAUACGAAUCAAGAGCACGGGUGGCGUGUCGGUCUCACUUCCUUUUCCAGGACAGGUAACCCCCUGCAACAGCUGCUCCCUAUAUCCCUAUAUCCCUUACCAUUCUGGUGGCAGCCCUUACCCCCUCUCUUGCAAUAUCCUAUCAUCAUUUAGCCGUGUAUUAAUAAAUACUGUUAUUUUUAUACUGGAAUACCUCGUCUCUGUCGUUACUGGAACGUACUUGUGUGAGAGCCCGCUUGUCUCUGUCGAAAGGUACAAUUUACACCGAACAAUAUAUCUUGGUGUGAAAGUCACCAGGUGGCGUAG